UGAAGGUGCUCUGCAUCGUAAACCUCUGUAGUUGGGGAAAAACGACGAGUUACUACUCGUUUGAUGGUACCCGAAAAGUAAGGAUCGGCUAACUACGUGC
rnacentral:rRNA from 1 species